GCGGCCAAGGGGUAGCAAUACCCCCUAGAGCGGCGGACUGGUGAGUAACGCGUGGGUGACCUACCCUUAGGUUGGGGAUAGCCAUUUAGAAAUAGUGGGUAAUACCGAAUAUGGUUGUUUUGCUAUGGCGAGACAAAGAAAGGAGCCUUGGCUCCGCCUGAGGAUGGGCCCGCGUCCCAUUAGGUAGUUGGUGAGGUAAAGGCCCACCAAGCCCGAGAUGGGUAGCCGGCCUGAGAGGGUGAACGGCCACACUGGGACUGAGAUACGGCCCAGACUCCUACGGGAGGCAGCAGCUAAGAAUAUUCCGCAAUGGACGAAAGUCUGACGGAGCGACGCCGCGUGUAUGAAGAAGGCCGAAAGGUUGUAAAGUACUUUUCUUGCUGAAGAAUAAGCGUGGGAGGGAAUGCCCGCGUGAUGACGGUAAGCAAGGAAUAAGCCCCGGCUAAUUACGUGCCAGCAGCCGCGGUAACACGUAAGGGGCGAGCGUUGUUCGGAAUUAUUGGGCGUAAAGGGCGCGUAGGCGGUUACGUAAGUCUGGCGUGAAAGGCAGGGGCUUAACUCCUGGACUGCGCUGGAAACUGCAUAACUUGAGUCAUGGAGGGGGAGUUGGAAUUCCUGGUGUAGGGGUGAAAUCUGUAGAUAUCAGGAAGAACACCGGUGGCGAAGGCGAA
rnacentral:rRNA from 1 species